CCCUUGCGCCGCGGUCCCCACCGCCUGGCGCGUGAGGCGUCGGACGAGACGGCGCGAGGGAACCUGCGCGCCGCGCCACGCGCCGCCGCGCUGUCUGCUGUCCGGGGCGGUUUGGCGUUCCCCUCUCCUCAUGGGGUCAGGCGGAGCCCGAGUUGUCACUGAGGCUUCUGCACAGGGAGGCGAGGGCGAGCAGCAGAUGAUACAAAUGGUGCUUACUGGUCUCACCUCUUUAUGGAAGAGAAGGAAAAUCAUUAUGGACCAAAAACUAUGACAGAUCUUUCCCCCUACAACUACACAACUUAGAACCAAUGGAGAAGAAACUGCAUCAAAUUAGGCUGAGAUGAGGUUCUAGUUUGUUACCGAGGAAAACUUAUAAAUAGUCUAACCAAGGACUCAUCUUAAUGCCGUGUGCAAUGCAAGAGGCUGGAGUCUGUCCAGCUGAAGAUCAGGCCACUAGAACUUUGCCCAGCUUGCUAUGUGAUCUGUUGUGUCUAUCUGCCUCUGACUUCCCAAAGGACCAAGGUUGGCAUUUGGAUCUAAUAAAAAUGUCAAGUGGGAGGUCCGUCAGUGACAGAAGCCAGAGAGAAACCAGAGUUCCUGAUUCCAAAGUAAGGCUCUUUCCAUUAAAACUAAUUUCCUAUGAUAAUGCUGCCACUAGCAUAUCCAUGCAGGACACUAUCUAAUUAAAUCCAAAUGGCUUGUGAAUCUCCCUGGCUCCAUCUGGGUUAAUGUACAGAAUGAAGGAGAAGCAGUUCCUCUCCUUGGGUGCCUUAAGCAGGAAUGGUAAGUUUUUAGUACCAAAGGAAACCAGAAUCAUCUCUUUCUUUACCAUAAAAACAUUCUCUUCAAGUAAAUAUGCUAUUGUUCCUUGCAUAUCAAUAGCAUGCCACAGCUACCAAAAUCAAGCCAUUAAAAAAAAAAAAAAAAAAACAGAUCACAAAUCCCAAAGUACAAAUAAACCUACUAAAACACUAUGGAAAAAAGAAUUUCUUUACGGACCUUCUUGGGCCCAAGAUGAAGUUUCUUUGUGAGUAUGUUUAUGUAACAGGCAUUCCAAGCAGAGUAAUUAGCUAAAGAGCAAAUUGGGGAACUCAGGAGGCAAAUGGAUCAAGGAUAUCCAAGAUCCUCCCAGGAUUCUCCUGAGUGUAGACAGGGGGUCCAGUGUCCUGGUGCACAGCCAAUCUGCCUGAGUUCAAAUCCCAACUCUGCUGUAUUUUAGACCAGUUGCUGACUUUCUCUGAGGUUCAGUGCUCUCAUGCUUUCCUAAGCACUAAAAGUGGAAACAGCGACAGAACCUUCCUUAUCAGGCUGUGGUAGAAUUAAAUGAGCCAAGUUCAUAUUCCCAUGCUGCAAAUAAAAGCUUUCAAUCCUUAGUAUUCAGGGAAUAUUCACUAGAGCAUCUUAAUAGCAUUUUUAUGGCAGUAUGAAAGUCUCCAUUUUCACAACUGGAGAUAAAACAAAACUUGAAUCUUAGCAUUCUAUGUAUAUCAAAGGCAGUCUACUCACUGAAGAGAAUCUUGACCAUCAUUUAAUCCACAAGUAUUAGAUAAAGAUCCAGAUAAAGUGUCGAAGAACCAAAUCUCCUGGGUGAACAUUUGGUGUCGUUGUUAGGACACAGUUUAGAAUGCCUGCAUUUCAUAUUAGAGUGCCAGGAUUUGAGUCCCAGCCCCUCUCCCAGUUCCCAAUUCCAGCUUCCUGCAAAAAAUAUCUUGGGAGGCAGUAGGUGAUAGCUCAAGUAGUUGGGUGCAGGCCAACCACAUGGGAGUUGUGGAUUGAGUUCCUGGCUCCUGGCUUUAGUGUGGCCAUAGCUUUUACAGACAUCUGUGGAAUGAACCAUUGGAUGACAGAUUGUGUGUGAGUGUGUGUGUGCAUGCAUGUGUGCGAGCAUGCACCUACAUUUUAAAUAAGUAAAAUCAAUCAAUUUUCAGAAAUAAAUGCUCACUGAGCAUGCAAAAUUCCUAACACUAAUGUAUAGGCCACAAUGUAACAGAUAAUAUCAGACUUGAUAGAAUCUAUUGUCAAAUGAGUGAUACCUACUAGUGGUACUCAAAACUGGAAUCCAUGUAUAUCCUAUACACAUUUUUAUGGAAGAUUUCUCUGUGAUAUUUAAAUAUUUUUAUGAAAAUGUUUUAAAAUUAAUUAAUGUAAGUAUAUUAUAGGUCACUCUGGUGAUAACAGAGACCUAAGUACUGCCAUGACAUAUAGGUAUAAAAGAUUGCAUUUGGGGGCUGGUGUUAUGGCAAAGUAGGUAAGGCUGCUGCCUGUGAUAUGAGCGUACUAUAUGGGAGCCAGUUAACAUUCCAGCUGCUCCACUUCCCAUUCAGCUCCCUGAUAAUGGCCUAGGCAAAGCAGCAAAAGAUAGCCCAAGUAUUUGGGCCUCUGCCACCCAAGUGAGAAACCGGAAGAAAUUCCAGGUUUCAGCCUGACCCAGAUCCAGCCAUUGUGGCCACCUGGGGAGUGAAUGAGAGGAUAGAUUUCCAUCUUUGUUUCUCCCACUCUCUCUGUAAAUCUAAAUUUCAAAAACAAACAAAUAAAUAAAUCUUUUUAAAAAUAUAUUUGAAGUUAUGGCUAUGAUUGCAUGGAGUACAAAUUAUGUCACUUUCAUUUGUGCUUAUUCAGAAUAAUGAAUAAAUGAAGGAUUCAAGUUCAUUAAAAUGUGAACUGAUAAAAAAUGUAAACUGAUAUUAGAAGGCUAUAUGAAUAGGUGAAAUUGAAAAUGUAAGAGUAAGCGCAAAAUAGCAGAAUAGGGAGGGAGCUUACUGUUUUACUCUAGGAGGAGAAAGCUUAAAAAAAGCAGAGAGAGUGCAGUCUCAGGGAAGAGUUAGGGAGAAAACAGCAGAGGAAAUUCUAUGCAAAUUAGAAGGAUAUGGUGGAACUACAUGGACACCCACAACUCAGGACCCAGGCAGCUGAGAGCUGCUGCACCAGUGUUGGAGAGUGAGGUGAGACCACACUGCAGCAGCCCAACCAGCUGCAGGAAGAGCCUAGAGGGAACCUGGUUUGGAGCCCCAUGGGGGAUAGUGUACCUACCAACUAGAGGAGAAAAAAAAAAGGAGGGGCCCAUUUCUCCCUCCCCGAUCACCCUGCAACAGCAUCCCGUAACAAGCCUAUAGAGCAGGUGCCAUUUUGGACAUACCUAACAGCUGCAUGAGCUCAUGUCCACGCCCAGCAACCAGCCAAGUGGAGACUCCUGAGUCUGGUGGGGAGAACAGACAGGGGCUGGGUGAUUGUGACUGUGGGAGGCCUGUGUGCUGAGACUGUGAAAAAACUGAAGCUGUGUGGGAGGACUCAGGGUGUGGCUGGGACUUUGGGCAGUCCCUUUGGUAAACUCCACAUGCUCAGGGCUCCCUGGUUACCUGGUAAGGGACACUGCUGGGGAAUCUGAGCUUACACUGAGGACGGCACAGAUCCUUUGUGUGGUUCCUGUGGCAGAGCAGACGAAUAUACCCACUGGGGCUAGCGCUCAGGCACUGGCCUCCUUUGAGUAGAGGAACUCAGUUGGGCAGAAUAAACCUCCCUUCUGAUUAAAAAAAAAAAGAGAGAGAGAGAUUUACUGAAACAAACCAGGGUGUGUCACCUUAAACAUGCCCUUCACUCUGGAGAACUGAACAGAGCUCCCUGGCCACACCCACCACAUGCCUCUAGAUAUUCACUGAAUGCAGAUAGUACACUAAUCUACAGAGGCAUAGAAGAAUAAAGAUAAAAGCCACCACAGCAAACACACACACACACACACACACAGAAGAAACCAAUGAUUAUCUCAACAAAUGCUGAGGAACAAACACACCAAUUCAAAAAAUAAGAAUUAAGAAAACAACAUGACACCUCCAAAAGAACACAGCACUUCAAUACUAGAUUGUAAAGAUGAAAUUUAAGAAAUGCCAGAAAUUGAAUUCAAAAAAUAGAUCAUAAGAUUGUGUAGAAGUAAUCAGAGGCAAAUGCAUGAACUACUGAAAUCCGUACAUGACAUGAAAGAAAAUUUCUCCCACAAAAUUGAGAUCUUAAAGAGAAAUCAAAAUGAAAUGAUGAAUUCAAUAGAACAAAUAAAAAAUCCAGUGCAAAGCCUUAACGAUGGAAUUGGUGAAGCAGAAGUAAGAAUAUCGGACUUAGAAGACAAAGCACAGGAAAUUAUACAGUCAGACCGCAAACAAGAAGAAGAAACUAGAAAACUAAAAAAUACUGUUGUGAAUCUAUAGGAUACUAUCAAAUGACCCAACAUAUGGGUUCUAGGAGUUCCUGAAGGCAUGGAAAGAGAGAAAGGAUGAGAAGGCCUUUUAAGUGAAACAAUAACAGAAAACUUCCCUAAUUUGGAGAAAGAAAGGGACGUCCAAGUACAGGAAGCACAUAGAAUCCCUAAUAGACAUGACCAGAAAAGAUCUUUGCCAUAACACAUUGUAAUAAAACACCACAGUAAAACAAACAAACAAAAAGAUUCCAAAAUGUGCAUGAGAGAAAGACCAGAUUACUUUCAGAGAAUCUCCAAUUAGACUCACAGCAGAUUUCUCAUCAGAAACCCUACAGGCUAGGGGAGAAUGGCAAGAUAUAUUCCAAGUCUUAAAAGAAAAAAAAAAACAGUAAAUCCGGAAUACUAAACCCUGCAAAGCUCUCAUUUAUGAAUGAAGGUAAAAUAAAGACCUUCCAUAACAAACAGAAAUUGAAAAAAUUUGUCCUCACACAUCCAGCCCUGCAAGAUGCUUAAGGAUGUGCUGCAAACAGAAACACAGAAACAUGGUCAUCACUACAAAAGAAAGUAAAGGAAGAAAAUCUCCCAUUAAAAGUACAAAGGAAAUCCAAAGUAAAAAUAGGAAUAUUUUUGGAAAAAUGGCAGGGCAAUGUCAUUAUUUAUCAAUAGUCACCUUGAAUGUACAUGGCCUCAACUCCCAAGUUAAAAGACACAGACU